rnacentral:lncRNA from 1 species
AUGGAAUCAGGCACUCUUCCUGUGUGUGGCCUAGGAGAUGCUCCACUCCCUCGGUUGACUUCAGGAACCAGCUGGCAGGUCCCCUUUACUCAUGGGCUUCUGAAGUACCUUAUGAGAGCAUCAGCACUAGGUGGCGCUAUGUUACCAUGAAGACUGCCGGGGGGGGACCACAGUUUUCAAGUUGGCUGGUAGAAACAGGAGUCAGGUGGUGGAUAGGAGACAUAUGGACAACUGUAUACUGGUAAUGACCACUGUUUGUGGAGCUCCUUCUAUUUCAGUGUUAUGCUGCAUCAUGUGUUCAAUGCAUAUUUAUAAGAGAGGUCUGAUAUCAC